AUUGAACGCUGGCGGCAGGCCUAACACAUGCAAGUCGAACGAGUGGCGGACGGGUGAGUAAUGUCUGGGAAACUGCCCGAGGGAGGGGGAUAACUACUGGAAACGGUAGCUCAUACCGCAUACCAUCGGAUGUGCCCAGAUGGUAUUAGCUUGUGGGUGAGGUAACGGCUCACCUAGGCGACGAUCCCUAGCUGGUCUGAGAGGAUGACCAGCCACACUGGAACUGAGACACGGUCCAGACUCCUACGGGAGGCAGCAGUGGGGAAUAUUGCGCAAUGGGCGCAAGCCUGAUGCAGCCAUGCCGCGUGUAUGAAGAAGGCCUUCGGGUUGUAAAGUACUUUCAGCGGGGAGGCGUUACCCGCAGAAGAAGCACCGGCUAACUCCGUGCCAGCAGCCGCGGUAAUAC
rnacentral:rRNA from 1 species